rnacentral:rRNA from 1 species
GUGGGGAAUCUUGCGCAAUGGGCGAAAGCCUGACGCAGCCAUGCCGCGUGGAUGAUGAAGGUCUUAGGAUUGUAAAAUCCUUUCACCGGUGACGAUAAUGACUGUAGCCGGAGAAGAAGCCCCGGCUAACUUCGUGCCAGCAGCCGCGGUAAUACGAAGGGGGCUAGCGUUGCUCGGAAUUACUGGGCGUAAAGGGAGCGUAGGCGGACAUUUAAGUCAGGGGUGAAAUCCCGAGGCUCAACCUCGGAACUGCCUUUGAUACUGGGUGUCUUGAGUGUGAGAGAGGUGAGUGGAACUCCGAGUGUAGAGGUGAAAUUCGUAGAUAUUCGGAGGAACACCAGUGGCGAAGGCGGCUCACUGGACUCUUGCUGACGCUGAGGUGCGAAAGCGUGGGGAGCAAA